UACGGGGGGGCAAGCGUUGUUCGGAAUUACUGGGCGUAAAGGGCUCGUAGGCGGCCAACUAAGUCAGACGUGAAAUCCCUCGGCUUAACCGGGGAACUGCGUCUGAUACUGGAUGGCUUGAGUUUGGGAGAGGGAUGCGGAAUUCCAGGUGUAGCGGUGAAAUGCGCAGAUAUCAGGAGGAACACCGGUGGCGAAGGCGGAUCUCUGGGCCUGAGUCCUGACGCUGGAGGCGCGAAAGCGUGGGGAGCAAACAGGG
rnacentral:rRNA from 1 species